GCAAUGAUAGGAAAAAGGGAUUUUAUUGAUAAAAGGACCAUACCGUUUUUCCUUUUAAUUAUAUUUUAUAUUGAUGGUGACUAUUCACCUUUUAUCAAUAAAAUCCUUUUUUCCUACCAUUG